rnacentral:rRNA from 1 species
CCUACGGGAGGCAGCAGUAGGGAAUCUUCCACAAUGGGCGAAAGCCUGAUGGAGCAACGCCGCGUGGGUGAAGAAGGUCUUCGGAUCGUAAAACCCUGUUGUUAGAGAAGAAAGUGCGUGAGAGUAACUGUUCACGUUUCGACGGUAUCUAACCAGAAAGCCACGGCUAAUUACGUGCCAGCAGCCGCGGUAAUACGUAGGUGGCAAGCGUUAUCCGGAUUUAGUGGGCGGAAAGGGAACGCAGGCGGUCUUUUAAGUCUGAUGUGAAAGCAUUCGGCUUAACCGGAGUAGUGCAUGGGAAACUGGGAGACUUGAGUGCAGAAGAGGGGAGUGGCACUCCAUGUGUAGCGGUGAAAUGCGUAGAUAUAGGGAAGAACACCAGUGGUGAAAGCGGCUCUCUGGUCUGUAACUGACGCUGAGGUUCGAAAGCGUGGGUAGCAAACAGGAUUAGAUACCCUUGUAGUC